GUCAGCCAUGACAGUGAACCAUCAAGAAGCCAGUGAAGAAAACACUUAGGAAAUUACACCCUGAAAUUUCACUCUACCGAUGUGCAAUCGGUCUCCCGGUUUUAAAGGUAGAGGCCUAAAAUCAACAUGAAAAAAUAAGUCUCAUCAACUGUAUGAGCUGCCUUGCAUCCUCCCCUAAGGUACCAACACGGUUCUGCUUUCAGAUUUUAAAUCUUAGUCGCAACUCGCAACCGCCUGAGCAGGGCUUUUCUGAAAACAUCAGUAGACAGGUUGGAUUCUGUCCUCACAGAGGAGGAAGCUGUUGAGCAUCCCUGUUUGCCCAGCAGGAGGUGCAGAGGACAGAAGUUACCCUGAUGCAAGGCUCUUUUGUUUGCUGAUUCUGCCAGAAGUUAAAGUGCUGAAGGAAACACUUCAGUUCAGGAGUUAAAUUUGGAGGCCUCAAACUACCAUUCACAUUCUAGGGAGAUAGCCACAGAAACAAAAUACUGCAUUGCCUAGAAGACAGCUAAAGAUGCCAGUGCGCAGAGAAAAGGGAAGAGAGAGGCUAUCGCUUGCCUUCAAGUUCCCCUCUGAGAAAGGAACAUGAGCAAAGAGAGAGCAGAGCAGCUGAGGGGAAACAUCUGGAAAAACCCAAAACAAGAACCAGCAGUGGCAAUUCAACACGACAGAGGAGGGCCCGGCUCUGUAAGCACAUUAAUGAAUGGCGAGAUGUCUACAUAGGAAGAAAUAUGACUUAGAAUUCUGCACAGCAACUGACCAAACGCAAAGGGGUCCAGAGGAGACAGGCACGGCUGGAGAGAAGCGGAUUUUCCUGGAGUGUCCCAGAGCCCAAGAGAAGAUCAAGUCAUUUAGUGUCCUACUAGGCUGGUAUUUCAAAAUGUG